rnacentral:rRNA from 1 species
GACGAACGCUGGCGGCGCGCUUAACACAUGCAAGUCGAACGGAAAGGCCUGCUUUCCCUUGUGGAUUGCGGGUACUCGAGUGGCGAACGGGUGAGUAACACGUGAGUGAUCUGCCCCCAACUUGGGUAUAAGCCUGGGAAACUGGGUCUAAUUCCCGAUAGGACUGCAGGGUGGUGCCUGUGGUGGAAAACGAUUUUCUAGUGGUUGGGGAUGAGCUCGCGGCCUAUCAGCUUGUUGGUGGGGUAAUGGCCUACCAAGGCGGCGACGGGUAGCCGGCCUGUGAGGGUGGACGGCCACAUUGGGACUGAGAUACGGCCCAGACUCCUACGGGAGGCAGCAGUGGGGAAUAUUGCACAAUGGGCGGAAGCCUGAGGCAGCGACGCCGCGUGGGGGAUGACGGCCUUCGGGUUGUAAACUCCUUUCGACCGCGAGGAAGCCACCUGGUUGGAAGGGUGGUGACGGUAGUGGUAGAAGAAGCACCGGCUAACUACGUG